rnacentral:lncRNA from 1 species
UACGUUAUUUCUGCGGGAGUACUUGUGCUUUAUUAUUUUGUUUUGUCUUGCUUGUGUUUCUAAUUUUACCUUUGUUUCUUAAUGCAGCUUUCCCUUUUUAUCCUAUACGCCGAGGGUCGACUGGAAACAGCCUCUCUGCCCUUUCAGGCAGGAAUAAGGCUCGUCUACAUAUUACCCUCCCCAUACCCCACCUGGUGGGAAUAUAUUGGGUAGUUGUUGUUGUUGUUGUUG